UACGAAGGGGGCUAGCGUUGCUCGGAAUCACUGGGCGUAAAGGGCGCGUAGGCGGCGUUUUAAGUCGGGGGUGAAAGCCUGUGGCUCAACCACAGAAUGGCCUUCGAUACUGGGACGCUUGAGUAUGGUAGAGGUUGGUGGAACUGCGAGUGUAGAGGUGAAAUUCGUAGAUAUUCGCAAGAACACCGGUGGCGAAGGCGGCCAACUGGACCAUUACUGACGCUGAGGCGCGAAAGCCAGGGGAGCAAACGGG
rnacentral:rRNA from 1 species